CACGAAGAACCGGAGAACGGUUGGCGAGUCUGGAUGAGAGGACGGCGGCGGAGUCACUGUGGACGUUGUUCGCUCAGCAGGUUAGAGUGUGGGACUCAAAGCUUUUUUCCCCCGUCCGUCGUGUCUUUUCCUGUGUGAACUCUGCCGCUCUCAACAGCAGCACUGGCUAUGAGCUAGCUCCUGCUACCUCCAACGAAGCAUCUCUCAACUGCUACAAGGUCCAACUUGACACACAACUUGAAUCCAACCAGACUGAACACUGACUCCAGGGACAGACGAGCCUGAAGGACACAGCUGUGAUGACCAUGUUCUGUCUCUUAUGGCAAAGCAGAAAUAUAAAACACUGGGUUCUUAUCUAAAGUGUAUCAAAUCAGAUCUCCA